rnacentral:lncRNA from 1 species
UCUGAUUACUUUAACCACUCAUAAUGGUCCUUUGAGUGAAGGAUGGAUACCAAGAAAAUUUGGGACCAAGCAUAAAGUCUGAGCAAACUCCAGGAGCUAGUGAAGGACAGAGAAGCCUGGCAUGCUGCAGUCCACGAGGUCGCAGAGUCAGACGCAACUUAGUGACUGAACAACAACAAAACGUGAGAGCCGCAGAGUUUGACUUAGUGUCGUAUUGUGAUUUGUAAUAAGAAAUAUUUAUUUGGUCUUUGUCCCCAUUUCUGGCACAGAGCUCCUAAAACCUUUGGAAUUUCCUAAGUGCUGAGAGAGACAAAAGUGCUCUUUUGUUAUGUUAAUGAGGUGAAUUGGACUGCAUGGAAGGAUGGGAUUCAUUGGUUGAUUAGAGAAUCAACAAAGUGAUUAGAAUGUUGAAAGUUUUAGCCCCACUCACCUGACCUCUGGAAGGAGAGAGGGGCUGGAGGUGGAAUCAAUCACCAAUGGCCAAUGAUUUAAUCAAUUAUGCGUCUGUAAUGAAGUCUCUUUAAAAACGCAAAGGGCAGGUUUGGAGAGCUUCCAGGUUGGUGAAUGGUGUUGAUGCUCUGAGA